rnacentral:rRNA from 1 species
GCUUAGCCCUAAACCUAAGUAGUAGCACUAACAAUACUACUCGCCAGAGAACUACUAGCAACAGCUUAAAACUCAAAGGACUUGGCGGUGCUUUAUAUCCAUCUAGAGGAGCCUGUUCUAUAAUCGAUGAACCCCGAUAAACCUCACCAACCCUUGCUAAUUCAGCCUAUAUACCGCCAUCUUCAGCGAACCCUAAAAAGGAAACAUAGUAAGCAAGACCAUAGGACAUAAAAACGUUAGGUCAAGGUGUAGCCCAUGGGUUGGGAAGAAAUGGGCUACAUUUUCUAACAAUAGAACACUUACGAAAAUUUUCGUGAAAUCGAAAAUGGAAGGAGGAUUUAGUAGUAAAUUAAGAAUAGAGAGCUUAAUUGAAUAAGGCCAUGAAGCAC